CUUGUUCUCCAAUAAUAAAAAACUAGUUAAGGGCCGCACGACGCGGCGAGAAGAUAUUAUUGCAGUAAAUUAUUAUCAUAUAUAUAUAUAUAUAUAUAUAUAUAUAGUUCAUCUAUUAUUCUAUUAAUAGGAUUGAGGACAUUAUCCUAUCAAGUCGUUUGAAUGAUCGGAACUUCAAAUUGAUAAUCGGCACUGUUGAAAUUGAUCUAUACAAUUAGAAAUGUUUAGAAACCAAAUUUUGUAAUAUUUAAAAAUCAUUAUCGAAUUCAUCUUAAGAGUUGAAAAAUGAACGGUCAUAAAUGAAUAACUUUCUUAAAAUAGAGAUUAGACUUUCUCAAUUCAUAAUCAGAGUUAUCAAACAUUAUCCGAAUAGUAUAAAAAAUUUUCUAUCAAAAAUUCAAGCAAUUUGGAUUGCUCUACACCGUUAAACAAGCAAACGGCUUAUAUAGGCCGUCAAAAAUUACCAAUUUUACGACACUUUGAUCACCAUGUAAAUAAUUUUUAAAAUUUAUGAAAUUUAGUUUCUAGAUAUUUCAGAUACUCUAGAUCAACUUCAACGGCUCCGAUUAUCGAUUCGAAAUCUCAAUCAUCAAGACCAAUUUGAUAGGAUAAGUGCUACUGUCCUCUUAAGUCUGUGUGUGUGUGUGUGUGUGUGUGUGUGUGUGUGUGUGUGUGUGUGUGUAUUUAUGAGUGAGGCUACUAUGCUUCUGGAAGCACGGAGCCAGGUCGUUUUCCAUGUUGUGACUUUCAUCGUCGAUCGGCUCCGUUAGACUUGAUCUAGAGUAUUUGAAGUACCUAGAAAAUAAAUUUUAUAAUUUUUCAAUAUCAUUUGCCUAGUGAUCGAAGGGGCUCAAAAUUAAUAAUUUUAAUGGCCGUAGUGAGCCGUUUGCAAGUUUAACGGUGUAGAAAUAUCCAAAUCACGUGAAAUUUUGAUAAAAAAAUUUUUAUACUAUAUAAAACAAGAUCAAUACGUUUGAUCUAAAAUUUUAAUGUCAUAUUAUCACGUUUUGUAAGGUUUUUAUUUUCAGCCGUUGAUUUUGAGCCCCUUCGUUCACUAGGCAAAUAAUAUCGAAAAAUCGCAUAAUUUAUUUUCUAGGUACUUCAAAUACUCUAGAUCAAAUUUAAUGGAGCCGAUUGACGAUUCGAAAGUCGCAACAUGAAAAAUGACCUGAAAGCAUGGAAGGCUCCGUACUUUCAGAAGCAUAGUAGCCUCACUCUAUAUAUAUUGUUCAGCUACUAUACUUUUGUAACUACACACCCCAUUGUACUCAUAAGUUUUUGAAUU
rnacentral:lncRNA from 1 species